UCAGGCUCGAGAAGUUGCACAUACUGUUCUGGUGCUUCAACAGAUUAUAAAGAGUAUAUAUGUGUAAAUAUUUACAUAGAUCAUAAGAAAAAGCAGCAGGGAAAGCAGAAGCUGAGGCCUCUCAGUGCUUUUCAAGAGGCUUUUUUUUUUUCUUCAUUGGUACAAACAUUAUCAGAAACCCCAAAGAAAACUCUAGGGGUGGGUGAAAAAGAGAGCACUUCCCUCAUCAGUGCUACCAGUCAUCCUGGAGAAAUCACUUUGUGGUUACGACUCAGCAAAUGUUUAGGAAUGUACCUCUUGCCAAAAUUACUAAACCUGAAACUGGGUUGCUACUCAGCAGAAAGAAGAAAAAACAGGCAGCUGAAGUACGCUGGAAACAGUAUCCAUUUGGGAUUGCAGGAAAAAUCAAGUGAAGGAUAAAAAGUAGUCUGCAAACAAAUCAGGCAUGUUAAGGGUCAUGCAAUGCAUCAAACUAGAAAAAGGAUUUCCCCAAAGCAAGCAUGACUGUAAGUGGAAAACUUCCUUCAGGAAAUGGGAAGGCACCUGAGCGUUUUGCAGACCUGAGAUUGCAUCCAAAUGCCUUUGCAAGGAUCCAGGCAAAAAGACUUUCCUUCUGUCCUUUCCAGUGAGACUUCAGAAGUUGUGGCUCCACUGAAGUCAAAAUCCUGUUGGACAUAGGAGAGAGAAAGUCAAGUCUCAGUGGUUCUUAAUGAGUCCUGAAUGAGAGGCUCUCAGUGCCAGUUCUCGGCCUCUCUGCAUGUGUCAGAUACUCCAAGCUCUCAACUAUCUUCAGGACCAUUUGCUGGACUCCAGUCUGUCCGUGUCUGUCAUGUACUGGGUUGCUCAGCUGGGGACACAGUGCUCCAGAUGUGUUCUCCCCAGUGGGUAGAGGGGAAUAAUUGUUUCCCUCUACCGGCUGGCAAUGCUUUUCCUAACAUAGUUUCAGGUGCUCUUAGUCAUUUUCUGCCACAAGGGCCAGUGGUAGCUUAUACUCCGAUUCUGUGUUUUCAGAAAUUUUUUAAAGGGUCAACCUCCUUUUACUCAUAAAUCCUUCACUUCUUUUUGCCCUUUGAACCAUCACAAAAAAUACAAGUAUUAUUUUAGCACCUCUUCAUUUUCAAAUCUACCUGCUAGAAUUUCUGUAAUAAAGUAUUUUAUAUUCUGGCUGGUAAGGUAGGUCUCAAAGCAGAAAUUUCAAGAAGGUAUGUGAACCUGGAAAGCUUUAUUUCUCCCAAUACUUUGUAGAAUUUGAGAGCUUGCAUCAAACUGUGGGUUAAUGAAAUAAGGCUGCAACUGGAAAAAUUAGUAUUAUGGUAUUACAGGCACCGCUAUUCAGGCUUUCUGGUGACUGAGGCUGUCCUGUUAUGUAGUUUAGGGCCUCUGAGGAGGGUUUCAGCAGCAUAAAAAAUUGAUUAAAAAUAAUAUAACCUAUAACACAUGUAAAAAUCUAAUUAGAGCAGUGUAAAGGUUUAUAGCAAUCUGGCAUUCAUUUCUAGCUCAACUGCAGACCUGCUGAAUAACUUGCACAAGUCAUUUAUCUUUCCAGGUCUUUAUAUCUUUAUCAGUAGAAUAAGGAAGGAAGGCAUUCCUGGAUGCAUAUUGUUACUUUAAAACCAGGGGCGGGGGAGUUCAUCCUUGUUUUGUAGAGGUGAUCCAGAGGGGGAAGAAAUCUGCUUAAUUAUCAGUCCUUCAAAUGUUACCGGAAUAAGAGCUGUAGAUAUGCAUAAAAUUAUGUAUUGAGAGAUACCGUUAAAACUUGUGUUUUCUGAUAAGCCACAGUUGUCCUUCAUUUUAAAUAGCCCACGGCCAGUGUCAUAAUGUUGUACUGCCUACUUGAAAUGAGAAUUUAAUUUACAGCUCAAAUUCAGGGAA